rnacentral:rRNA from 1 species
GGGGCCCAUCCUCCAAGGCUAAAUACUCCUGACUGACCGAUAGUGAACCAGUACCGUGAGGGAAAGGCGAAAAGAACCCCGGCGAGGGGAGUGAAAAAGAACCUGAAACCGUGUACGUACAAGCAGUGGGAGCACGCUUAGGCGUGUGACUGCGUACCUUUUGUAUAAUGGGUCAGCGACUUAUAUUCUGUAGCAAGGUUAACCGAAUAGGGGAGCCGAAGGGAAACCGAGUCUUAACUGGGCGUUAAGUUGCAGGGUAUAGACCCGAAACCCGGUGAUCUAGCCAUGGGCAGGUUGAAGGUUGGGUAACACUAACUGGAGGACCGAACCGACUAAUGUUGAAAAAUUAGCGGAUGACUUGUGGCUGGGGGUGAAAGGCCAAUCAAACCGGGAGAUAGCUGGUUCUCCCCGAAAGCUAUUUAGGUAGCGCCUCGUGAAUUCAUCUCCGGGGGUAGAGCACUGUUUCGGCAAGGGGGUCAUCCCGACUUACCAACCCGAUGCAAACUGCGAAUACCGGAGAAUGUUAUCACGGGAGACACACGGCGGGUGCUAACGUCCGUCGUGAAGAGGGAAACAACCCAGACCGCCAGCUAAGGUCCCAAAGUCAUGGUUAAGUGGGAAACGAUGUGGGAAGGCCCAGACAGCCAGGAUGUUGGCUUAGAAGCAGCCAUCAUUUAAAGAAAGCGUAAUAGCUCACUGGUCGAGUCGGCCUGCGCGGAAGAUGUAACGGGGCUAAACCAUGCACCGAAGCUGCGGCAGCGACGCUUAUGCGUUGUUGGGUAGGGGAGCGUUCUGUAAGCCUGCGAAGGUGUGCUGUGAGGCAUGCUGGAGGUAUCAGAAGUGCGAAUGCUGACAUAAGUAACGAUAAAGCGGGUGAAAAGCCCGCUCGCCGGAAGACCAAGGGUUCCUGUCCAACGUUAAUCGGGGCAGGGUGAGUCGACCCCUAAGGCGAGGCCGAAAGGCGUAGUCGAUGGGAAACAGGUUAAUAUUCCUGUACUUGGUGUUACUGCGAAGGGGGGACGGAGAAGGCUAUGUUGGCCGGGCGACGGUUGUCCCGGUUUAAGCGUGUAGGCUGGUUUUCCAGGCAAAUCCGGAAAAUCAAGGCUGAGGCGUGAUGACGAGGCACUACGGUGCUGAAGCAACAAAUGCCCUGCUUCCAGGAAAAGCCUCUAAGCAUCAGGUAACAUCAAAUCGUACCCCAAACCGACACAGGUGGUCAGGUAGAGAAUACCAAGGCGCUUGAGAGAACUCGGGUGAAGGAACUAGGCAAAAUGGUGCCGUAACUUCGGGAGAAGGCACGCUGAUAUGUAGGUGAAGUCCCUUGCGGAUGGAGCUGAAAUCAGUCGAAGAUACCAGCUGGCUGCAACUGUUUAUUAAAAACACAGCACUGUGCAAACACGAAAGUGGACGUAUACGGUGUGACGCCUGCCCGGUGCCGGAAGGUUAAUUGAUGGGGUCAGCGCAAGCGAAGCUCUUGAUCGAAGCCCCGGUAAACGGCGGCCGUAACUAUAACGGUCCUAAGGUAGCGAAAUUCCUUGUCGGGUAAGUUCCGACCUGCACGAAUGGCGUAAUGAUGGCCAGGCUGUCUCCACCCGAGACUCAGUGAAAUUGAACUCGCUGUGAAGAUGCAGUGUACCCGCGGCAAGACGGAAAGACCCCGUGAACCUUUACUAUAGCUUGACACUGAACAUUGAGCCUUGAUGUGUAGGAUAGGUGGGAGGCUUUGAAGUGUGGACGCCAGUCUGCAUGGAGCCGGCCUUGAAAUACCACCCUUUAAUGUUUGAUGUUCUAACGUGGACCCGUGAUCCGGGUUGCGGACAGUGUCUGGUGGGUAGUUUGACUGGGGCGGUCUCCUCCUAAAGAGUAACGGAGGAGCACGAAGGUUGGCUAAUCCUGGUCGGACAUCAGGAGGUUAGUGCAAUGGCAUAAGCCAGCUUGACUGCGAGCGUGACGGCGCGAGCAGGUGCGAAAGCAGGUCAUAGUGAUCCGGUGGUUCUGAAUGGAAGGGCCAUCGCUCAACGGAUAAAAGGUACUCCGGGGAUAACAGGCUGAUACCGCCCAAGAGUUCAUAUCGACGGCGGUGUUUGGCACCUCGAUGUCGGCUCAUCACAUCCUGGGGCUGAAGUAGGUCCCAAGGGUAUGGCUGUUCGCCAUUUAAAGUGGUACGCGAGCUGGGUUUAGAACGUCGUGAGACAGUUCGGUCCCUAUCUGCCGUGGGCGCUGGAGAACUGAGGGGGGCUGCUCCUAGUACGAGAGGACCGGAGUGGACGCAUCACUGGUGUUCGGGUUGUCAUGCCAAUGGCACUGCCCGGUAGCUAAAUGCGGAAGAGAUAAGUGCUGAAAGCAUCUAAGCACGAAACUUGCCCCGAGAUGAGUUCUCCCUGACCCUUUAAGGGUCCUGAAGGAACGUUGAAGACGACGACGUUGAUAGGCCGGGUGUGUAAGCGCAGCGAUGCGUUGAGCUAACCGGUACUAAUGAACCGUGAGG